rnacentral:rRNA from 1 species
UUCACGCCAGAAUACGAAAGACCAGGUAUAUGCACAAAAUGAGAUGCUUGCUUAUCAACAGAAGGAGUCUACUGCUCGCGUUGCGUCUAUUAUGGAAAACACCAAUCUUUCCAAGCAACAGCAGGUUUCCGAGAUUAUGCGCCAAAUGCUUACUCAAGCUCAAACGGCUGGUCAGUAUUUUACCAAUGACCAAAUCAAAGAAAUGACUCGCAAGGUUAGUGCUGAGGUUGACUUAGUUCAUCAGCAAACGCAGAAUCAGCGGUAUGGCUCUUCUCAUAUUGGCGCUACUGCAAAGGAUAUUUCUAAUGUCGUCACUGAUGCUGCUUCUGGUGUGGUUGAUAUUUUUCAUGGUAUUGAUAAAGCUGUUGCCGAUACUUGGAACAAUUUC